CGUAGGGUCCGAGCGUUGUCCGGAUUUAUUGGGCGUAAAGAGCUCGUAGGCGGCUCGGUAAGUCGGAUGUGAAACCUCCAGGCUCAACCUGGAGUCGCCAUCCGAUACUGCUGUGGCUUGAGUCCGGUAGGGGAGCAUGGAAUUCCUGGUGUAGCGGUGAAAUGCGCAGAUAUCAGGAGGAACACCAGUGGCGAAGGCGGUGCUCUGGGCCGGUACUGACGCUGAGGAGCGAAAGCGUGGGGAGCAAACAGGAUUAGAUACCCUGGUAGUCCACGCCGUAAACGUUGGGCACUAGGUGUGGGGCUCUAUCGACGGGUUCCGUGCCGUAGCUAACGCAUUAAGUGCCCCGCCUGGGGAGUACGGCCGCAAGGCUA
rnacentral:rRNA from 1 species